CUCCUCUCUCCCUUUGACAGAAUCUAGGUCCUUUUCCUUAAUCAGGGAGAUAAGGAUGUGGGAGAUACUGUCUGAGGCCUCCGGAUCUCCCUCCCGGCAGCUCAGUGGGCACUGAUGGUCAUGCCCUGUUAUCUCCUUUUGCCAAGACUUCAGGGCCCAGCUGAGAUGUCAGUGUUGGGAGAUAAAAAUCCAUGCCCGUUUCAGCAGACCCUGUUCUGACCGGCAGAGGCUGCCAGGAGUUUACUGAAAGCCCUCCAGCUGAGUACACAGCCCCCGGGGAGCAGGAAUGGGCAGAGGGGCAGCUGAACCCCAGCCAGCGCUGCUGGGAAGAAGACGGAGGAGAGAGCACAGGGGCGUCCAGCACGUCUGCCACUAACAGGGGGGAGCCCGGCAGCUGGCUUGCAGCUGUUUCUUAGCUCCAAGGAGCCUCGCCUCUGGAAUGAUCCUUUGCAGUGGCUUGGGCAACCCGGGCCAAGGAGCUUGCAGCCUCAGAGGUGGUGAGGCUUCAGUGGAGAAGGACAGGGCAAGUUCUGAGGUAGCAUGGAACGUCGUCACCCUCCACUGAGUGUCCUUGAAAGCUUGUCAGCCUGCUGAGGUUGGGGGUUUUUUCCCUCUGUCCUCUAAGAAUCAAGGUCCUGGUCCUCCCCUCUUCUUGCCCAAGUGACCUCGGGGCCACCUCUCUGGUUCCUGACGCCUCUUUGUGCCCUUCUCCACACACCCCAUCCCACUUGGGGAGCUUCUGUUCUGGUUGGAAUCCUUGGUUUCCCCAGGGGGACAGAGCAAGCUCCCCUACAGCAGGGGAGGGAGGGACAGCCUCAGAGUCUGCCCAUGAGCCACAAGGACCCCGGCUGCCCCAGACUGGACUAUUCCAAAUCACCAAAGAGGAGGUUUCCCAGAGCUGGUCCCCAGCAAUCCCGAGGGACUAGAGGGCUAGGAUGGACUGACCUCCCCCUCAGUGGGGGGGCUGGAGACGCACAGCCCCUGUGGCCCAGCUAGUGGCAGGUCCGGAGGAAGCUGCCACCAGAGUCUCAGUGGCAGGAAGCCACAAUUGCCUGAUUUGUUUUCUCUCACCUCUGAGGGAGAGAAGGGGGUUUCCCCCCCGUUGGCCUCUCCCUUCCUUAUCGCGGCUUGGGCCUCUAUGCUCUUUCUUUGUGGAGCCAGACCAGGUGGGCAGCGCUGGGGCCAGCUGGUGAGGGAGGGACCCCGGUGACCCCCGCCCCCACAGGGGGUC
rnacentral:lncRNA from 1 species